CGCUUUAGCCCCGCCCCGUACCCCGCCCCUCCCAGUUCCUGGGGCAGUCACAAGGUUACCAUGGUUACUGCUACGGGUUUGCAGGAGGAGCCAAACCAAACCUGAUAAGAGUUCAGGCGGCAGACAAGCCGGCAGCAUUAAACCAAACACAUUUCACAGUAGGAGGGAGUCUGGCUAGACCAAAGAGCGAGCUAGCCCCGAAGACGGAAGUGUAUUGUUAUUGCUGCUCCUGCUGCUGCUGCUUAAUCCAGAAAGCUACAGAGUUCAUUCCCCAGGUUCCUCCACUCUUAUCUCCUUUGGAAUCCAAUUCUUAACCACACCUCUCGGAGUCCCUGAAGUGCAAGUCACCCGAAUUUUCCUAAGCAUAAUGGACGCAGUCUUCUCAUUUUAAAGCUAUCCAGGUCCUGUGUUUUAGUUUCCCACUGCCGCUAUAACAAAUCACGAUGAAUUUAGGAGCUUAAAUAAACACGAAUUUAUUACAGUUUAGAAGUCUGAUGUGGGUUUCACUGGGCUAAAAUUAAAGUGUCAGCGGGGAUGCGUUCUUCCUAGAGGUUGCGGUGUUUCUAAGGCUGCCCCUUGUCCUUGGCUCAUGAACCCUUCCACUCUCCACAAAGGCAGCACUGUUGACUGUCUCUGGCAGUUCUGCAGUAGUUACCACCCGCUCUGCUGGGAAAUGUUCUCUGAUGUUUUUCAGGACUCUGUGCACCCAGAAGAGUGAAGGUCACCCCUCAUCUCAGGCUCCCUGACUUAACCAUUUCUGAUUAACCACUUUUGCCAUGUAAGGUGAGUAUUCACAAGUUCUGGAGAUGAAGAGGUGGACAUUCGGGCAGUGUGUUGGAAGGGUGUGCUUCAUUCAGCCUACCACACUAUGAAGCAUAACAAGGGUAUUUUAAGGGCUCUGUGACGUAUUUUCUUCUCAAUUUUUUGAACACUUUUCUUAUUUAUUAUGUUUAUGUACAUGUAUAUAAUGAUAAUUGUUUGUGCAUCACAUGCCUGCAGUGCCCCUGGGGGCCAGAAGAUGGCAUUGGAUCCCCUGGAAUUGGAGUUACAGAGAGUUAGGAUCUGCCCUGUGGGUGCUGGGAAUCAAACCUGGGUCCUCAGGAAGAGCAGUCAGUGCUCCUAA